rnacentral:rRNA from 1 species
ACCCAGCUCGUCAUGCUAGAGCACUUUUUCAAUGUGCUCCCCAACGACAAAGAGAUGACGCAUUCGUAUGUCAAUCCAUAUCAACUUUCGAUGCCAUUUACUGCACCUACCAUGAUGACCACCGGUAACGGGGAAUCAGGGUUCGAUUCCAUACAGGGAUCCUGACAAACAGCUACCACAUGCAAGGAAGGCAGCAGGCGCACAAAUGACCCACUCCCGACGCGGGGAGGUAGUGAU